AUUGAACGCUGGCGGCAUGCUUUACACAUGCAAGUCGAACGGCAGCGCGGGCUUCGGCCUGGCGGCGAGUGGCGAACGGGUGAGUAAUACAUCGGAACGUGCCCAGUAGUGGGGGAUAGCUCGGCGAAAGCCGGAUUAAUACCGCAUACGACCUGAGGGUGAAAGCGGGGGGUCUGCGGACCUCGCGCUAUUGGAGCGGCCGAUGGCAGAUUAGCUAGUUGGGGGGGUAAAGGCCUACCAAGGCGACGAUCUGGAGCUGGUCUGAGAGGACGACCAGCCACACUGGGACUGAGACACGGCCCAGACUCCUACGGGAGGCAGCAGUGGGGAAUUUUGGACAAUGGGCGAAAGCCUGAUCCAGCAAUGCCGCGUGUGUGAUGAAGGCCUUCGGGUUGUAAAGCACUUUUGGCGGGAACGAAAAGGACUGUGCCAAUACCACGGUUCGAUGACGGUACCCGCAGAAUAAGCACCGGCUAACUACGUGCCAGCAGCCGCCGUAA
rnacentral:rRNA from 1 species